rnacentral:rRNA from 1 species
GAUGAACGCUGGCGGCGUGCCUAAUACAUGCAAGUCGAGCGAAUGGAUUAAGAGCUUGCUCUUAUGAAGUUAGCGGCGGACGGGUGAGUAACACGUGGGUAACCUGCCCAUAAGACUGGGAUAACUCCGGGAAACCGGGGCUAAUACCGGAUAACAUUUUGAACCGCAUGGUUCGAAAUUGAAAGGCGGCUUCGGCUGUCACUUAUGGAUGGACCCGCGUCGCAUUAGCUAGUUGGUGAGGUAACGGCUCACCAAGGCAACGAUGCGUAUCCGACCUGAGAGGGUGAUAGGCCACACUGGGACUGAGACACGGCCCAGACUCCUACGGGAGGCAGCAGUAGGGAAUCUUCCGCAAUGGACGAAAGUCUGACGGAGCAACGCCGCGUGAGUGAUGAAGGCUUUCGGGUCGUAAAACUCUGUUGUUAGGGAAGAACAAGUGCUAGUUGAAUAAGCUGGCACCUUGACGGUACCUAACCAGAAAGCCACGGCUAACUACGUGCCAGCAGCCGCCGUAA